GUGGAUUAGAUACCCUGGUAGUCCACGCUGUAAACGAUGAGUGCUAGGUGUUCGGGGUUUCGAUACCCUGGGUGCCGAAGUUAACGCAUUAAGCACUCCGCCUGGGGAGUACGGUCGCAAGACUGAAACUCAAAGGAAUUGACGGGGACCCGCACAAGCAGUGGAGUAUGUGGUUUAAUUCGAAGCAACGCGAAGAACCUUACCAAGUCUUGACAUCGGCAUGACCGGCUUAGAGAUAGGCCUUUCCUUCGGGACAUGCCAGACAGGUGGUGCACGGUCGUCGCCAACU
rnacentral:rRNA from 1 species